UACAGAGGUCCCAAGCGUUGUUCGGAUUCAUUGGGCGUAAAGGGUGCGUAGGCGGCGCGGUAAGUCGGGUGUGAAAUUUCGGAGCUUAACUCCGAAACUGCAUUCGAUACUGCGGUGCUUGAGGACUGGAGAGGGAUGCGGAAUUCCAGGUGUAGCGGUGAAAUGCGUAGAUAUCGUAAGGAAGACCAGUGGCGAAGGCGGGUCUCUGGACAGUUCCUGACGCUGAGGCACGAAGGCCAGGGGGAGCAAACGGG
rnacentral:rRNA from 1 species